ensembl:lncRNA
AAAUUCAGCUUCCUUUCUUUCCUGCCAGCAGCGUGGCAAUGGAUGAAAGGAGCAAGGGCACCAAGUGCCAGGAGAAAGAAGUUCUCCCCAAACUCAACCUCGGGAGCAGUCCCGGAGGUCUACUUUCCAACUGGGAUGGUCCGUACAAUGGUGAGCCCACAGCUCCUUCUGAAACGGAAGGCCUGUGGAAAGGAGUAAGGGCUCUUCAGUUAAGGUCUCCACCGUUAAUGCCGUGAGUGGCAGCAAGCUUUGGCACGGACACACGGACUAGAUGAGGACCCCAGUGGCAUCGUCAAGGGUCCCUACUGAAAUAAGAGCUCACGGAUUGGCCAGAGCAGAAGACCAGUAAGCUCCAAGAUCCUCUUAUCUCUGUCCUCAACACCUCUGCCCAGGAGUACUCUGGGCAUCGGAAGUCAGGUUGUCCUCUGGCCUGCAUAGGGAAAACUGACAAGUAAGCCACCUCCUCAGUUCCGGGAAAAAAAAACUAGACUAAGUAACUGUUACCCUUAAAGACUGCGACUGAAACUUCAUCUUGAGUGAGGAAUCACUGUUGCUUAGUAAAGACUGAGGUAACCUGGAGCUCCUUGGCCCACAGGAGGGCAAGAGUUGCUCUUUGCUGAUUGCUGCAACUGCAGAACAGAGCACAUUGGAGAAAUGCAAAUGUGAUUUCUCAAGACAAUAGGGACACUAUUUUAAUAUAAAAUUAAGCUAAUUUUGCAAUUUUUUGACAUACAAAUAUUCAUGUCAGGUGCUGAGGCCAAGCAGAUGGUACUGCUGGCCAUGCUCAGCCUGUGGGCAGCCCCUGGAUGGUCCUUGACUUGACCCCUGCUGAGUUAGCGAGGGUCGUUAGAGACAACACUGGCCCUUUGCCUCAGACAUUCAAGCUCUAGCAGGCUGAUUAUGUGUGCAAUGUUUUGUUACUUUUAUGACUCAACAUCUAUUUCAUCAGUCUGAUAGGGAGCCUUCAAAGGACUCAAGAAGUAGUCCCUUGUAUAAACUUAGUGAGGAAAAAAUGGUAGAAUUCUUGUUCACAACGUUCUUAAUAACAUGAUUUCAUGUUUUUCUGUCCCACAUAUAUCUCAUCACACUCUUUAAUAGUAAUAAUUUUAAGAUAAUGGAAUCUAAGCAAACAGCUUCCUCUGGUUGGUUUUCCAAGUCUAACGUGGUUUGUAGUGGAUAAUGAUUAAAAUAGCUAAGAUGAUCGGAUUGGCAACAGAUUCAUUAACUGAAAAACAAUAAUCAAGUUCUGGGUAGGAUAUAUUGACUACUACUUGGCAGAAAGCAUGAAAAUAAAAGAAAUUUGAUGUGGACUUGGUGGAAGAACCCAAAAAUCAAGGAUAUGAAAGCAAUCAUGCGGAUUACCAUUGGCUAAAGAAAUGAGAAAUGAGUUCUCUGGGAGAAAAGCUCAGAAAUGCAAACCAAGCUAAGCUGGGUCUCCAUUCAACAAAUGGACCAAGACAAUCAGAAUACAGAAAGAUGUAUGUGUUUGAGAUUCAGAAAACCAAGGACUGCAUAAGACAACCCAAGACAAAGAGGAAGCAGGACACUUGCUCUUGACCUUCCCAGCCUCUGAACUACAAAAUCGGCCUUCAUCAUUUAUCAGUCACCCUGCUAUAGUGGCCCAAACGAGUAGAGACCAACAUUACAAUAAGCCCAGAUUUUAUGGUAGACAGGGUUGCAACAUAGCCCCAAAUGACCUGAAACGUCUGAUCCCCCUGCUCCUUCCUCCUGAGUGCAGGGGUUUCAGGCUUGUCUCUGGGACAUAGCAUCUCCAGCCCAUGACUGCACCUUCCUGUGAAAGAGCAACGAGUACCUUUGUUAAAGAUCAUUUAAACAUGC